CUUCACCGAGCCCAGCCACAGCGGGCGGUCGGCGGGGCGGCCCGUCCCGUACGCGUCGAUCACGGCCUGGGCCUC
rnacentral:antisense_RNA from 1 species